UCAUCAUCCCUUGAUUGUGAAACAUUCUCCCUUUAACCUUUUUUAUAAUUUUUCUUUGGAAUUCCUAAAGCAGUAGUGGAAUUAGUUAGAUAGACUCCCACUUUCCCAUUAAAACUCCUAGUUUGGCCUACUUGUAAAUGCUGCUCUCUAAUCAAACUCCCCUUUCCCACUAAAAAUUUCCUACUCAUUGCCAACUCAAGGAUCAAUCUAUCCAAACCCUUAAAGUCUCCAAUUAACCAUCGAAUCUCUUCCAAAAUUAACUCCUUACCCACUGUUUGACUAUCUGAAUUUCUCUCCUCAUUGUCCAUGCACGCACCUCUUUUCCUCCUAAGAGCCUCCAACACAUGUACUGACUCAUAUUCUUUAUAAAAGGUUCCUUA
rnacentral:lncRNA from 1 species